UUUAAGAUUAUAAUUUAAAGUYUGAUYUGCUCCAUGAUUAAAAAUUAAAUAGCUGCAGAAUAUUAACUGUACAAAGGUAGCAUAAUCAAUAGUUUUUUAAUUAAAAGCUAGAAUGAAUGAUUUGAUAAGGGAAGUUUUGUCUCUAGUUUAAUAAAAUUAGAAUUUUUUUUUUAGUUAAAAUACUAAAAUAAAUUUAAAAGACGAGAAGACCCUAUAGAUUUUUAUAUUUAUAAUAAAAUAAAAAUAAAUUAAUAAUUUUUUUUUUAUUAAAAAAUAUUUGAUUGGGGUAAUUAUUAAAUUAAUAAAAUUUUAAAUUAUAAAAAACAUAAAUUAAUGAAUUUAUGAUCUUUGAGUAAAAUUAAGAGAAUAAAAUACCUUAGGGAUAACAGCGUAAUUUUUUUAGAGAGAUCAUAUUAAUAAAAAAGUUUGCGACCUCGAUGUUGAAUUAAGAUAAAAUUUUAAUGGAGAAGUUAAAAAUUUUUGG
rnacentral:rRNA from 1 species